rnacentral:rRNA from 1 species
UACGGAGGGGACUAGCGUUGUUCGGAAUUACUGGGCGUAAAGCGCACGUAGGCGGAUUUGUAAGUCAGGGGGUGAAAUCCCGGGGCUCAACCUCGGAACUGCCUUUGAUACUGCAAAUCUCGAGUCCGGAAGAGGUGAGUGGAAUUCCUAGUGUAGAGGUGAAAAUUCGUAGAUAUUAGGAAGAACACCAGUGGCGAAGGCGGCUCACUGGUCCGGUACUGACGCUGAGGUGCGAAAGCGUGGGGAGCAAACAGGGA